GACGAACCGAGCGAACGUUAUUCGGAAUCACUGGGCUUAAAGGGCGCGUAGGCGGGCGGUCAAGUCCGGGGUGAAAGCCCCCAGCUCAACUGGGGAAGUGCCUCGGAUACUGGUCGCCUCGAGGGAGAUAGGGGCGUGCGGAACUUCCGGUGGAGCGGUGAAAUUCGUAGAUAUUCGCAAGAACACCAGUGGCGAAGGCGGCUCACUGGCACGGUACUGACGCUGAGGUGCGAAAGCGUGGGGAGCAAACAGG
rnacentral:rRNA from 1 species